rnacentral:rRNA from 1 species
GCAUAUCAAUAAGCGGAGGAAAAGAAAAUAACCAUGAUUCCCCUAGUAACUGCGAGUGAAGAGGGACAAGCUCAAAUUUUAAAUCUGUUAGGUUUUCACCUGACCGAGUUGUAAUUUGAAGAGGUGUUUUCCGCGUUUUUGGUCAGUCCAAGUCCUUUGGAAUGAGGCAUCAUGGAGGGUGAGAAUCCCGUUCGGCUGAUCAGAUUCGUUUUACGAUACACCUUCAAAGAGUCAAGUUGUUUGGGAUUGCAGCUUAAAAUGGGAGGUAAAUUUCUCCUAAGGCUAAAUACCGGCGAGAGACCGAUAGCGAACAAGUACCGUGAGGGAAAGAUGAAAAGAACUUUGAAAAGAGAGUUAAAUAGUACGUGAAAUUGUUGAAAGGGAAACGAUUGAAGUCAGUCGUACCGGCGGGAAAUCAGCUUCUCGAGUGGGGGUUCGCGGGUGCGUGGAGCUUCGGCCUUCGUUGCUUGUGACACCUUUUGCUUCUGGAGCGUACUUUUCCGUGUGGUAGGUCAACAUCGGUUUUGAUUGCCAUAAAAUGACCGGAGGAAUGUGGCUUCGAUCUUGUAUUGGAGUGUUAUAGCCUCUGGUAGAUGUGGUGGUUGGGAUCGAGGAUUGCAACGAAUACCCUUUGGGCUAUCCGCCUGACCUCUGAAAGUCGCUUGGGUACCGAAAGCUUGCUUACGGUCAUUCAAGUUGGCGGUCAAAAGGUUAGAACGUGAUUAAAUUCGUUAAGGAUGUUGACGUA